GAUGAACGCUGGCGGCGUGCCUAAUACAUGCAAGUCGAGCGAACAGACGAUGAGCUUGCUCCUCUGACGUUAGCGGCGGACGGGCGAGUAACAAGUAGAUAACCUUCCUAUUAGACUGGGAUAACUUCGGGAAAACGGAGAUAAUACUGCCUAAUAUAUUGUACCGCUUGGUUCAAUAGUGCUUGACGGUUUUGCUGACACAUAUAGAUGGUUCCGCGUCGCAUUAGCUAGUUGGUAAGGUAACGGCCUACCAAGGCUACGAUGCGUAGCUGAUCUGAGAGGAUGAUCGGCCACACUGGAACUGAGACACGGUCCAGACUCCUACGGGAGGCAGCAGUGGGGAAUCUUCGACAAUGGGCGAAAGCCUGACGGAGCAACGCCGCGUGAGUGAUGAAGGUCUUCGGAUCGUAAAACUCUGUUAUUAGGGAAGAACAAAUGUGUAUGAAACUAUGCACGUCUUGACGGUACCUAAUGAGAAAGCCACGGCUAACUACGUG
rnacentral:rRNA from 1 species